AUCCCCUCCUUUCUCUUCUUGUUGUCUGCUUGAAAAAGUUGAAUCACAAGUUUGUAAGCGCAGAAGAAAAAAUAAAAUACUGCCUCUAGAGCUCUCAUCAAAAGCUUGCUUUCAACAAAUAUUCUAAUGAGAGAUUUUAAACAGUUUACAAGCCAGGUGUGAUGAAGAUUUUAUUCCAAUGUACUUCAGAGACUAGGGCCUGAUUUUUGAAACUGCUCUUGGAGAAAUGUUGCCAGCUGUAGUUGUGCCAAAGAAGAUACCCAGGCUCAGAAAGAAACAAGCCACAGCCAAUGAACUUAUUUCACGAGCUGGCCAAAUGGACAGCUACCACAUAUGCCCUGCCCUUUAUAGAUUUCUGUACCUCUGUGAAACUAAAUUAAGGGAUUCCUUUGUGGUGUCACUUCCGCUUCUAACUCCUUCAACAUUGUGGAUUUUCAGACGUAAAGAGAAAUCACCAAAAGGCUUGAAAAUCUAGCUAGAUGAUGGCUUCCUCUGUGAAAUCGUUUUAUCCUACACUCCAGGAUAAGAUCUGUCUUUCUCUAUCACAUAACCUAGAAGAUGAAGUGAUCUGCAACAGAAUUUGUAACUAUACUAUUGAUGUAUCCAUGCAGAGGCCGAUCUUAAUGACAGCAGGGUUUCUUCAAGAACAUGUAUGGAUCAUUUACUUUUACAGUUCUUUCACUUAUUAGAAGCUUACAGUCAUCAUUACAGAUGUGCUUGUGAGCAGAUGCUUUUCAAGUUAACACAUUAGCUCCCAUUUAAGCCCUGUCUGCUUGGUACAAAUACAUUUGGCUUGUCAUCCAAACACAGAGAAGACCUGUAGAUUAAAACAGGGUCAAACAUGUGCUAGCUUUUUAAUCCAUUUUGGUAAAGAACUGAUCUCCAAGAAGAUCAGUUACAGAUACCAUUAUUUUGAAAGUUAUCUGGUUUAGAAGUCUAUUUCUUAACUAUUUGCAAUGCUUUUUUGAUAUUUUUUAAAAGGCAUGUAAUAUAUAUAGACCACUGCAGAUAUUCUGAUAGACAAAAUUAGGGAAUACAUUGUCAUAUGUUUUGUCUUUCACAUGAUAACUUCAGUGGGGCUUAGCAUAUAUUGGGGAAAUAAUUUCAGUCUAUUUAACCAUAGAACACUAAAGCCUUCGUAGUCCAGGUAAAUAUCUUAAACACCAGGUUAUUGGCUUGGUCAACUGUAUUGCCUAACCUACCCAUAUAUAUAUCACUGUGCAUAUAGGGAAGCAAGGUUUGGGGACCAGAAAGACAGAGAAAAGGUGUAGCUUACUCACUUGGAAACACAGCUGGAAAACAAUCUUUUUUCAAGAAAUUUAGACAUCUAAUUCUAUCUUCCUAACUUUAGUUGAGUAGAAAGAGCAUUCACUGUAAGGAUGUAAAACGAUGUAUUAAGUGUAGUCUUGGUGUGUCAAGUUUCAUGUUACAAAGCCAGAAGCAAUCCAUUACAAUAGAAAUUCUCAAUUUACUAAUCUACAAACAAAAUAAAUUAAUCAAAUAGAGAAAUAAAUGAAAUGGA
rnacentral:lncRNA from 1 species